rnacentral:lncRNA from 1 species
AACUACAAUUGGUGGUGGUGGUAGUUGGUAUCAAUCAAAAAAGUACUUUGGCUUGGUAUAAAAUUAUUUCAAUUGUAAAACAUAGAAGAUUGGAUAGACCUGAAUAUGUGGCAAAAGCUUGAGGUAGCAUACAACUCUAGAAAUCACUACAAAAAUGUAGAAAGGUGCAAGCGACCAAGAUGCUAGUUUAUAAAUUUGGGUUGAUAUAGCAUGUAAAAAAUUGGAAUUAGAGAAUA